GACGAACGCUGGCGGCGUGCUUAACACAUGCAAGUCGAACGGAAAGGCCCUGCUUUUGUGGGGUGCUCGAGUGGCGAACGGGUGAGUAACACGUGAGUAACCUGCCCUUGACUUUGGGAUAACUUCAGGAAACUGGGGCUAAUACCGGAUAGGAGCUCCUGCUGCAUGGUGGGGGUUGGAAAGUUUCGGCGGUUGGGGAUGGACUCGCGGCGUAUCAGCUUGUUGGUGGGGUAGUGGCUUACCAAGGCUUUGACGGGUAGCCGGGCUGAGAGGGUGACCGGCCACACUGGGACUGGGAUACGGCACAGACUCCUACGGGAGGCAGCAGUGGGGAAUAGUGCAUAAUGGGCGGAAGCCUGAUGCAGCAACGCCGCGUGGGGGAUGACGGCCAUCGGGUUGUAAACCGCUUUCGCCUGUGACGAAGCGUGAGUGACGGUAAUGGGUAAAGAAGCACCGGCUAACUACGUG
rnacentral:rRNA from 1 species